rnacentral:rRNA from 1 species
UACGGAGGGUGCGAGCGUUGUCCGGAAUCACUGGGCGUAAAGGGCGCGUAGGCGGCUCGAUAAGGCUGUGGUGAAAGCCCGGGGCUCAACCCCGGGUCGGCCGUGGCGACUGUCGGGCUGGAGCACUGUAGAGGCGGGCGGAAUUCCGGGUGUAGCGGUGGAAUGCGUAGAGAUCCGGAAGAACACCCGUGGCUAAGGCGGCUCUCUAGUACGGUACUGACGCUGAGACGCGAAAGCGUGGGGAGCGAACAGG